rnacentral:tRNA from 1 species
GCAGUGGUGGUUUAGUGGUAGAAUUCUCACCUUCCGUGUGGGAAACCGAGGUUUGGUUCCCGGCCAGUGCA